UACGGAGGGUGCAAGCGUUAUCCGGAUUCGCUGGGUUUAAAGGGUGCGUAGGCAGGCAGGUAAGUCAGUGGUGAAAUCUCCGAGCUUAACUCGGAAACUGCCGUUGAUACUAUUUGUCUUGAAUAUUGUGGAGGUAAGCGGAAUAUGUCAUGUAGCGGUGAAAUGCUUAGAUAUGACAUAGAACACCAAUUGCGAAGGCAGCUUACUACACAACGAUUGACGCUGAGGCACGAAAGCGUGGGGAUCAAACAGG
rnacentral:rRNA from 1 species